GACGAACGCUGGCGGCGUGCUUAACACAUGCAAGUCGAACGGAAAGGCCUCUUUCGGGGGGUACUCGAGUGGCGAACGGGUGAGUAACACGUGAGUAACCUGCCCUUGACUUUGGGAUAACUUCAGGAAACUGGGGCUAAUACCGGAUAGGAGCUCCUUCUGCAUGGUGGGGGUUGGAAAGUUUCGGCGGUUGGGGAUGGACUCGCGGCUUAUCAGCUUGUUGGUGGGGUAGUGGCUUACCAAGGCUUUGACGGGUAGCCGGCCUGAGAGGGUGACCGGCCACAUUGGGACUGAGAGACGGCCCAGACUCCUACGGGAGGCAGCAGUGGGGAAUAUUGAACAAUGGGUGGAAGCCUGAUGCAGCAACGCCGUGUGCGGGAUGACGGUCUUCGGGUUGUAAACCGCUUUCGCUCAUGACGAAGCUUUGUGUGACGGUAGUGGGUAAAGAAGCACCGGCUAACUACGUG
rnacentral:rRNA from 1 species